rnacentral:rRNA from 1 species
GUAGGGAAUCUUCGGCAAUGGGGGCAACCCUGACCGAGCAACGCCGCGUGAGUGAAGAAGGUUUUCGGAUCGUAAAGCUCUGUUGUAAGUCAAGAACGAGUGUGAGAGUGGAAAGUUCACACUGUGACGGUAGCUUACCAGAAAGGGACGGCUAACUACGUGCCAGCAGCCGCGGUAAUACGUAGGUCCCGAGCGUUGUCCGGAUUUAUUGGGCGUAAAGCGAGCGCAGGCGGUUUGAUAAGUCUGAAGUUAAAGGCUGUGGCUCAACCAUAGUUCGCUUUGGAAACUGUCAAACUUGAGUGCAGAAGGGGAGAGUGGAAUUCCAUGUGUAGCGGUGAAAUGCGUAGAUAUAUGGAGGAACACCGGUGGCGAAAGCGGCUCUCUGGUCUGUAACUGACGCUGAGGCUCGAAAGCGUGGGGAGCGAACAGGAUUAGAUACCCUUGUAGUCC